CUGGAGGUAUCAGAAGUGCGAAUGCUGACAUAAGUAACGAUAAAGCGGGUGAAAAGCCCGCUCGCCGGAAGACCAAGGGUUCCUGUCCAACGUUAAUCGGGGCAGGGUGAGUCGACCCCUAAGGCGAGGCCGAAAGGCGUAGUCGAUGGGAAACGGGUUAAUAUUCCCGUACUUGGUGUUACUGCGAAGGGGGGACGGAGAAGGCUAUGUUGGCCGGGCGACGGUUGUCCCGGUUUAAGCGUGUAGGUGUGUGUUCCAGGUAAAUCCGGUUCACUUUAACACUGAGGCGUGAUGACGAGGCACUACGGUGCUGAAGCAACAAAUGCCCUGCUUCCAGGAAAAGCCUCUAAGCAUCAGGUAACAUCAAAUCGUACCCCAAACCGACACAGGUGGUCAGGUAGAGAAUACCAAGGCGCUUGAGAGAACUCGGGUGAAGGAACUAGGCAAAAUGGUGCCGUAACUUCGGGAGAAGGCACGCUGACACGUAGGUGAAGUGAUUUACUCACGGAGCUGAAGUCAGUCGAAGAUACCAGCUGGCUGCAACUGUUUAUUAAAAACACAGCACUGUGCAAACACGAAAGUGGACGUAUACGGUGUGACGCCUGCCCGGUGCCGGAAGGUUAAUUGAUGGGGUCAGCGCAAGCGAAGCUCCUGAUCGAAGCCCCGGUAAACGGCGGCCGUAACUAUAACGGUCCUAAGGUAGCGAAAUUCCUUGUCGGGUAAGUUCCGACCUGCACGAAUGGCGUAAUGAUGGCCAGGCUGUCUCCACCCGAGACUCAGUGAAAUUGAACUCGCUGUGAAGAUGCAGUGUACCCGCGGCAAGACGGAAAGACCCCGUGAACCUUUACUAUAGCUUGACACUGAACAUUGAGCCUUGAUGUGUAGGAUAGGUGGGAGGCUUUGAAGCGUGGACGCCAGUCUGCGUGGAGCCGACCUUGAAAUACCACCCUUUAAUGUUUGAUGUUCUAACGUGGACCCGUGAUCCGGGUUGCGGACAGUGUCUGGUGGGUAGUUUGACUGGGGCGGUCUCCUCCUAAAGAGUAACGGAGGAGCACGAAGGUUGGCUAAUCCUGGUCGGAC
rnacentral:rRNA from 1 species